AUUGAACGCUGGCGGCAGGCUUAAUACAUGCAAGUCGAACGAGUGGCGGACGGGUGAGUAAUGGCUGGGAAACUGCCUGACGGACGGGGAUAACUACUGGAAACGGUAGCUAAUACCGCAUACCAUCAGAUCGGCCCAGAUGGGAUUAGCUAGUAGGUGGGGUAAUGGCUCACCUAGGCGACGAUCCCUAGCAGGUCUGAGAGGCUGACCGGCCACACUGGAACUGAGACACGGUCCAGACUCCUACGGGAGGCAGCAGUGGGGAAUAUUGCACAAUGGGCGAAAGCCUGAUGGAGCCAUGCCGCGUGUGUGAAGAAGGCCUUCGGGUUGUAAAGCACUUUCAGCGAGGAGGCGUUACUCGCAGAAGAAGCACCGGCUAACUACGUGCCAGCAGCCGCGGUAAUUC
rnacentral:rRNA from 1 species